rfam:Calypte anna contig17432, whole genome shotgun sequence.
UUGCACAGUGAACACCCAAGUGUGCUCUGUAGUUCCCUUGGUUUCAGUCCUGUGCUAGAGCAAUCUGUACUUUUCCUCUGCAUUGGAAGGAUUUGCAUUCCUUUUACGUGUAUUCAGAAGGACAGCACAUUC